AGUGAACGCUGGCGGUAGGCCUAACACAUGCAAGUCGAACGGCAGCACAGGAGAGCUUGCUCUCUAGGUGGCGAGUGGCGGACGGGUGAGGAAUACAUCGGAAUCUGCUCAGUCGCGGGGGAUAACGUAGGGAAACUUACGCUAAUACCGCAUACGACCUUCGGGUGAUAGUGGGGUAUCGCAAGACCUCUCGCGAUUGGAUGAGCCGAUGUCGGAUUAGCUAGUUGGGGGGGUAAUGGCCCACCAAGGCGACGAUCCGUAGCUGGUCUGAGAGGAUGAUCGGCCACACUGGAACUGAGACACGGUCCAGACUCCUACGGGAGGCAGCAGUGGGGAAUAUUGGGCAAGGGGCGGAAGCCUGAGGGAGCGAGACCGCGUGGGUGAAGAAGGCCUUCGGGUUGUAAAGCCCUGUUGUUGGGGAAGAAAUCGUGCGGGCGGAGACGGUGGGGGGAUGACGGUACCGAAAGAGUAAGCACCGGCUAACUUCGUG
rnacentral:rRNA from 1 species